GUAUGCUGUGGCUGCCAAGUGAUUGCUGAACAUUUCCGAAAGCUACAGUCAUUGACAUUGUUGAGUCUGCCAAAGCUUGUCAGUUUCCUCCCCAUAGGUGCGACACACCUAUUAAAAAUACAACAAUGGGAGAGGCACAAUUUCGAACUAGACUAUUACUGAAGGAAGACAUUGUCAAUCACAAGGCUACAGCUGAAAUGUUGGGCAAUCAAAAGCGUACUCCAGAAAAGAUCUGAGAAGCUCUUGAUUGGUGCUAACAUUCCCUCAGCUGGUUCUUGUUAUUGCUAUUCUGCUGAAAAGUUAAAUUGUGCAAAUCUGGUGUAACUAAAGCCAGUUCUUCAUAAUGGGGUACAAUUUGCGUAGAACCACGACAUUGAUCCUCCAACGUUCUGAUGUUUACCACAUGCUAUGAAAAAUUCAGUCUGUAAUUCACCAGUGGUAACCGAACAUUUGAAGAAGCAAGUGGGAGAUAGAUGGAAGAUAGUAUUCACCAAACUGGUUCACAAGAUUGAAGAAUUCAGGAGAGACACUUCACAC